UGUUUGCUGGGAACGAUGAUGUCGCUUUUCCUAUGCGUUGUUUUAUUUCACUACAGUGGUCUCAUGGACUGUUUAUGUUGGUACCAAGGUAUUUGUAGCUGUCCACCCUGUCAAUUGGUUGUUGGUUAACCAAAAGUUGUGUAUUUAAUAUUUCGCGCUUACUGACUAUAGUCCUUGUAUGGUAUACCAUUACUUUGUUUUUUUUUUAAUUGAAAUUAGGUUCAUGUUCACUACUUCUAUCUUAUAUGCGCGACAUUAUUCUUUGCAAAACAUCUAGGCUAUGUGCAAAACUACUGCGUCGUCGGCAUAUCUAAUGUGUUGUUUAGAUCUAUCAUCUACUCCCGUUUCCUUCAAGAUGGUUAUGAGCUGAUCAUGUUUUACUCUAUCCAAUGCCUUUUUGUAGUCGAUAAAACAAAUAUGUAUAUAGGAACAACCACCAGAUAUUUAAAAGGUAUAAAAAGAAGAAACUGCUGGAAUUUCAAAACAAAUGUGUUUGACUAGUAAAGAUUUGGAUAAAUAGCAGGAGUUAUUUCAUGUUAAUUCUUAUUAAUUAUACACUUAAAUAUUUUUUUAGUCUCAGGAAGAUUUUAUAUUUGAUUAUUUUUGAAUAAACAUUAUUAUUAUUACCUUAAUUUCCAUUAAAUAAAUUAACUGUAAUCAAUAAAGUAAUCGUUUAAUUGUUAAUAAAUUAUCAAGUAUGA